UACCAGCACCCCGAGUGGUCGGGACGAUUAUUGGGCCUAAAGCAUCCGUAGCCGGUUCUACAAGUCUUCCGUUAGAUCCACCUGCUUGACAGAUGGGCUGCGGAGGAUACUAUGGAGCUAGGAGGCGGGAGAGGCAAGCGGUACUUAGUGGGUAGGGGUAAAAUCCGUUGAUCCAUUGAAGACCACCAGUGGCGAAGGCGGCUUGCCAGAACGCACUCGACGGUGAGGGAUGAAAGCUGGGGGAGCAAACCGGG
rnacentral:rRNA from 1 species